UGUCGAGUCUACACAUCGAAUCGUUUCACAGCAAAGUAGUACUAUCUACAAUUUACAAAACUUGUAUUGACAACUCUCGUCAGCCAUCUCCAGGACCAUAAGAAUAUUUCAUAUAACACUCAUGGCACGCUCGAACCAUAUAAAUAACACUAUGAUAUUAUAACUGAAAUCCCAGCCAGAGAGCGCUUUCUCAUCCUUCCACACGCAGUACUUCCGGGUGUGGGCGCCUUCAAUGGACGUACGGGUAGUGGUCGUUUCACAGCAGUAGUAUCCACCGCAGAAAUCGUGGCUAGUUAUGGGAGUGAAAAUAAAUCGAGCUAGAUAAAUCUUUAGAAAGUGUCAGUAUUAUAUAUUGGUGAAAGCCAUCUAUAUUGGACAGAAUUAACAUCUCAACGCAAUGUUGAAAAGAAAAACUGGAGGAGCCUGUGCUGAAGUGAAACGGCUUCAGGCCAGCUUUGUCGCGCCUGUCAAUGCCCCGAUGACACUGCUUUUAACUUCGUUUUUACUUCUGACUUCUGUCUUUUGGGUAGAUGGAGCUAUAAGUCCCGUGGAGUCCGCAAUAUUGGAAAACGACCACGAGUUGGAAUCGCAGCUCAGCUCCGUAUUAUCAGACUAUGAUGUUAUCUCACUGGCCAGUGUCCGCCAGCACUCUGUGAGAAAAAGAGACUUGCAGCCUGAGUCCCACAUUGAACGGUUGCUGAGCUUCACAGCCCUGAACAGACAUUUCAAACUUUAUUUGACAUCAAGCCCCUACCACUUUUCAGAAAACUUUACAGCAGUGGUGGUAGAUGAAAAUGGCAAAGAAGAAAUCUAUCCCGUCCAGUGGCAGAACUUCUUUACUGGACACGUUGUUGGGGAACAGGACUCUCGAGUGCAAGCGCACAUCGAUGAUACUGACUUCACAGCCCACAUUCUUACAGAUGAAGGAGAGUAUAACAUAGAGCCUCUUUGGAGAUAUGUUAACUCAACACCUGAUGGCAGAAUGCUGGUGUACAAAUCAGAGGAUAUCCGAGAUAUUGGGCGUCUGCAUUCCCCCAGUGUCUGUGGUUCUGUUAAAACAGAUGGGUUGCUGCCAGAGUGGUACAGGGAAGCAGAGGCAGACAGAAAAGAGCAUCUCCAUAGAGAGAAAAGGCAGAAAAGCACCCCUGAUCCCAAGAAGAAUACCUGUAAGCUGUUGGUGGUGGCCGACUACCGCUUCUUCCAAAACAUGGGGCGCAGCGAGGAGAGCACCACUAUCAACUACCUUAUUGAACUAAUUGAUCGAGUGGAUGACAUUUAUAGAAACACAACCUGGGACUAUAAUAUGCAAGGAUACGGUGUGCAAAUAGAACAGAUUAUUGUCAACAAACAUCCCACUCACACUAAAAAGGGCGAAAAGCAUUAUAAUAUGAAUCGGAGCGCUCCGGAUGAACAGAAGGACGCAUGGGAUGUGAAGCUACUGUUGGAGCAAUUUAGUAUAGAUAUUGCAGACCAGGCCUCCAAUGUCUGCCUUGCCCAUCUGUUCACAUACCAAGAUUUUGACCAGGGAACCCUGGGACUGGCAUAUGUUGGGUCUCCGAAAACACAUGCACUUGGAGGCAUCUGUCCUAAAGCUUACAAUUUGAAAGCUUUGGGGAAAUCCAUCUACUUGAACACAGGCUUGACCAGCACCAAGAACUAUGGGAAAACCAUUCUUACCAAGGAAGCAGACUUGGUUACAACUCAUGAGCUGGGCCACAACUUCGGAGCUGAGCAUGACCCUGAUAACCUCUUACACUGUGCCCCCAGUGAUGACAAUGGAGGGAAGUAUUUGAUGUACCCCAUCGCAGUCAGCGGAGAUCAUGAGAAUAACAAGAGAUUUUCCGAAUGCAGCAUUAAGUCAAUUGCCAAGACUCUGAGCAGCAAGGCUUCUGAUUGCUUCAAAGAGAGAAACAACAGAGUGUGUGGCAACUCUCGCGUGGACGAGGAAGAGGAAUGUGACCCAGGGAUCGUGCACUUGAACGACGACACCUGCUGCACAUCCAGCUGCAAGUUCAGACCCAAUGUGCAGUGCAGUGACAGAAACAGUCCCUGUUGCAAGGGGUGCAAGUUUGACCAAGCUGGAAAGAUUUGCCAAGAAGCCAUCAAUGCCACCUGCAAAGGAGAGUCUGCUUGCACAGGCACGAGCAGUGAAUGUCCUCCUCCAGCUAAUGCAGCCGAUGGCAUUACCUGUGUGGACAAGGGGAAGUGCCAGCAUGGGGAAUGCAUCCCGUUUUGUGAGGGGCUCAAGGGGCUCAAGGGGCUCAGGUCUUGUGCUUGUAAUGAGACAGACAACUCUUGUAAAGUUUGCUGCCGAGAUACAAAUGGAGUGUGCAAGCCUUAUGAAGAUUUUGGACAGUUCUUGUACCUGCGCAAAGGAAAGCCCUGCACUGUAGGAUUCUGUGACGGAAGUGGCAAAUGUAUGAAGCAAGUUCAGGAUGCCGUUGAGCGAUUUUGGGAUUUCAUUGAAAAACUUGACAUCAAUACUUUUGCAAAAUUCCUUGAAGAUAAUAUUGUGGGUUCUGUGGUGGUGUUCUCUCUCAUUUUCUGGAUCCCUCUCAGUAUUCUCGUCCAUUGUGUGGAUAAGAGACUCGACAGGCAGUACGAGGAAAACACCAAAUCGCUUUUCUAUCCGAGUAACGCAGAGAUGCUGAGCAGCAUGGACUCUGCCUCUGUGCGCAUUGUGAAGCCCCCUUCCCAGUCAGUUGGCCGGUUCCAGCCCUCGCACACACAGCCCUUAGCCACAGGGCCACCUUCUGCUUCGGUGGCACCCAAACCAGACCUCCCACGCAUGGCCACCAUCCAGGAGGACACGAGCAGCGACUCUCACCUCGACGAGGACAUGCUUCAAGAGGACUUCCCCAACAGCGGCACGGCAACCAAGUCCUUCGAGGACCUGACCGACAACCCCCUGACCCGUAGCGGCAAGGCUCUGUCCUUCAAACUGCAGCGGCAAGCCCGCAUCAACAGCAAGGAGACAGAGUGCUAGCCUCGCACUCGCCAAACACCGCCUUUCAUUAUUAUUUACCAUUUCUUUUAGUUUGGAGGACGUGUACAUAUUUGCUUAACUGUGAUGUACAUAAUGCAGGUUUUACUAUAUACAUAUAAUAAAAUUGGUCUGUUAGGCUGUGACUUGUUAGCAACAGUUUGUUUUGUAAAGGAAAAAAAAAAAUGCAACAAAAAAUGUGUAUUCGGGAUAAAGGGUCUCCAAAUUGAUGUGCACCUAUGACCAACAGUUUUGCAUCACCUACUAUUUAACAUCAUGUAAUCAAAGAAACUACAAAAUGAUAUUGCAAGUCUACCGGAUGCCAUACAAGUAGUACGGUAUUUCAAGCUAGAUUUCGAAAUGUCACAUUUUUCAAUUUGUCAGUUUUUCAUUAAGUAUAUGGAAAAUUACAAAGCGUUAUGCAAUUCACUAUUUUUAUGUAACAUUAUUCAGCAGGUUUCAUUCGACUUCAUGAAGCACAAUUAGUUCAUUCUAUAGGGUGAUGCAAAACUUUUGGCCAUAGCUGUAGUUUGUCCACAGAAGAAUUGAAACAGCAAUUACAUUUAUUGUUUAUGCUAAUAUGUUUCAGGUAUGAUAUCUACUUUGUUUGGUGGGCCUGUAUUAUGGAACUGGGAUAAAGGAAAAACCCACUAUCUGAAUCUUUCAUGCUCGCCGAGUAGUGGAGUUGCAUGGGAGAAGCGAGGCAGAGAGAACACCAGGCGAGCAGCGGAAUUCUGGAUGAGCUGGAGCGGACGGGUGGCGGAUGCAGGGAGGCCAGCCAGGAGGGAGUUGCAGUAGUCUAGGCGGGAGAGUACCAAGACCUGGACCAGGAGCUGGGUGGCGUAGUUUGUGAGGAAGGGUCGGAUUCUUUGGAUGUUGCUCAGGAAGAAUCGGCAAGUGCGUGCCAGAGUGGAGAUGUGCUGGGAAUAAGAGAGGCAGGGGUCCAGGGUGACUCAGAGGUUCUUAGCAGAGGAAGAGGGAGAGUGUGGUAGAUUCCAGAGGAACAGAGACAGAGAGAUCAGAGGAGGGGGGGAGGAGGAGGAGGGAAAGAAAAGGAGGUCAGAUUUAGAGAAGUUGAGUUUGAGGUGAUGCGAGUGCAUCCAGGAGGAAAUAGCAGACAGACAGGUAGAGAUACGGGAGGGAUGGUGGAGUCAGACGUGGGGAAGGAGAGGAAAAUCUGAGCAUCAUCAGCAUAGAAAUGGUAUGAGAAACCAUAGGAUGCGAUGAGGGGGCCCAGGGAGCGGGGGUAGAGAGAGAACAGGAGAGGACCCAAGACUGACCCUUGGGGGACUCCUGUUGAGAGAGGGCAAGGUGUGGAGGUUGUUCCACGCCAGGUUACCUGGUAAGUGUGGUUGGAGAGGUAGGAGGAGAACUAGGCCAGAGCAGUGCCAGAGAUUCCCAGGUCAGCGAGAGGACAAUUUAUAUUUGUGUUACUUUGUAAAACCAUAAUGCCACACUGAUCCCCCAAAUCCUCUGUUUUAAAAGGAGUCCUUUAGCCCGACCUGGUUUAAAUGUGUACUUUCUUAGAUGUUUGUACCCUGCUUUUGAAGAGGACACAGUAAGACAGACUUGCAUGCUGUGAAUGGCCAGGCCCUUUCAAGCCGACCCACAAUUUUUAAGAAUAUCUACACCUGUUACCCUUGCAUUUAAAAAAAUAUAAAUAAAUAAAUGGGUAUAUUGGAGGCUGUGUGGUCCAGUGGUUAAAGAAAAGGGCUUGUAACCAGGAGGUCCCCGGUUCAAAUCCCACCUCAGCCACUGACUCACUGUGUGACCCUGAGCAAGUCACUUAACCUCCUUGUGCUCCGUCUUUCGGGUGAGACGUAAUUGUAAGUGACUCUGCAGCUGAUGCAUAGUUCACACACCCUAGUCUCUGUAAGUCGCCUUGGAUAAAGGCGUCUGCUAAAUAAACAAAUAAUAAUAACAAAUAUUGGUAAUUUUCAUGAAGGGGGAAAUUUCACGUAACACAUGAAAUAGCAUUGUGGCAUUUAGAGUUACACUAUACUGUAUAAAUACUGCUUUAAAAAAACACUGCAUUUGGUGCAGGUUUCUCUCUUCCCCUGUAAUUAAUAUAAAUUACUUGUAAAAGCAGAAAUGUUUGCCAGUAUGCUAUUAAAUGAGCUGUUUUUGUAUUAAAUAUA